rnacentral:lncRNA from 1 species
AACAUUUAAAAGGUAGAACGUAUAAAAAAUCAAAUAAGAAACAAAUAAGUAUCGAACAUAAAGCAACAAGAUAGGUUGAACACAAACACAUAUAAAUAGGUCAUAAAAGUUCAUUUUACUUCAACAAAUUUAGACCUAUAACCAAGAUAAGAAUAUAAACUAUUUUAAAAAAGGGGGAAGGAAUCAAAAAUCGAAUAAGUAACGAAUAAGGUAUAAGUAAAAAGUACGAAUAGGUAAUACGAAUAGGUAAUAAGGAAUAAGUAACGAUUUACGAAAAAAAUUAUAAGGAUAAGUAACGAAUAGGUAACAAAUAUGGAAUAGGGAAUAAGUAACAAAUAGGGAAUAGGGAAUAAGUAACGAAUAGGGAAUAGGGAAUAAGUAACGAAUAGGUUACGAAUAGGGAAUAGGGAAUAAGUAACUAGUAGGAAAGGAAUAGAAAAUAGGGAAUAAGUAACGAAUAGGUAAUAAGGAAUAAGUAACGAUUAGGGAAUAAAAUAAGGAAUAGGUAACGAAUAGGGAAUAAGGAAUAAGUAAUGAUUAGGGAAAAAAUUAUAAAGAAUAAGUAACGAAUAGGUAACAAAUAUGGACUGGGAAUAAGUAACGAAUAGGGAAUAGGGAAUAAGUAACGAAUAGGGAAUAGGGAAUAAGUGACGAAUAGGUAACGAAUAGGGAAUAGGGAAUAAGUAACGAGUAGGAAAGGAAUAGACAAUAGGGAAUAAGUAACGAAUAGGUAAUAAGGAAUAAGUAACGAUUAGGGAAUAAAAUAAGGAAUAAAUAUGGAAUAGGUAACGAAUAAGGAAUAGGGAAAAGGUAACGAAUAGGGAAUAGGGAAUAAGUAACGAACAGAUAACGAAUAGGGAAUAGGUUAUAAGUAACGAAUAGGUAACGAAUAGGGAAUAGGGAAUAAGUAACGAAUAGGAAAGGAAUAGAGAAUAGGGAAUAAGUAACGAAUAGGGAAUAGGGAAUAAGUAACGAAUAGGUAACGGAUAGGGAAUAGGGAAUAAGUAACAAAUAGGUAACGAAUAGGGAAUGGGGAAUAAGUAACGAAUAGGGAAUAGGGAAUAAGUAACGAAUAAGGAAUAAGUAACCAACUUGACGUCUAUACAAAAUACAAC